rnacentral:rRNA from 1 species
GAUGAACGCUGGCGGCGUGCCUAAUACAUGCAAGUCGAACGAGGUGCUUUUGUAGCAAUACGAAAGUAUCCUAGUGGCGAACGGGUGAGUAACGCGUUGGUGACCUACCCCAAAGUGUGGGAUAACAGUUCGAAAGAACUGCUAAUACCGCAUGUGGUUAUCGGAUUUAGAAACUGAUAACUAAAGGAGCAAUUCGCUUUGGGAGGGACCUGCGUCCCAUCAGCUAGUUGGUGAGGUAAUGGCUCACCAAGGCUACGACGGGUAGGGGACCUGAGAGGGUGACCCCCCACAAUGGAACUGAAACACGGUCCAUACACCUACGGGUGGCAGCAGUAGGGAAUAUUGCACAAU